AUAUCCCAAAGCUAGUAUAAAAAAAAAACCAGACGAAAUGGUCUCUUCAAGAAAGCUCAUGAGCUCGCAGUUCUUUGUGAUGCUGAGGUCUCUCUGUUAUCAUGGUUUCUUGCACUGACAAGGUUAAUUUACGAGUACAUUAGCCCCACCACAACGAAGCAAAUAUUUGACCGGUAUCAGAAGACACACUGUAUGCCUCUCUUUAAUGGUAUAAAGCUUACAUGUGCAGAAAAUGCAAGAAAACUUGGGAAAACUGAAAGAGGUGAACAGGGAAAAUCAGGAGGGAGACAAGGCAGAAGAUGGGUCAGGGUUUAAAUGAUCUGAGCUUUCAGGACCUGCGCAAUCUUGAGAAAGAUAUUGAAAGUGCUUCGAAGGUUAUAAUUCAUGACCGCGCAGCAAGAUACUCAGCCCAGUUCACAGCACUCUUAGGGUUCUAUACUAAGAACAUUUUCAGUCCAUACUAAUUUACUCAAGCCAUCCAGAAUUUUUGUGAUCUAUAUGGUGUGAUUUCUAAUUUGAAACCUAAGCCUCCUAACUGAAAGAGGUGAACAGGGAAAAUCAGGAGGGAGACAAGGCAGAAGAUGGGUCAGGGUUUAAAUGAUCUGAGCUUUCAGGACCUGCGCAAUCUUGAGAAAGAUAUUGAAAGUGCUUCGAAGGUUAUAAUUCAUGACCGCGCAGCAAGAUACUCAGCCCAGUUCACAGCACUCUUAGGGUUCUAUACUAAGAACAUUUUCAGUCCAUACUAAUUUACUCAAGCCAUCCAGAAUUUUUGUGAUCUAUAUGGUGUGAUUUCUAAUUUGAAACCUAAGCCUCCUAACUUGCGAAAUGUGUAGUCGAUUUGUAAUGGAUAAUCAUCCAGCAAUUGAUCAACUCCUAUGUUUUGCUCUUAAUUAAACUAUGAAUACUUUGUGUAUAAAUAAAGUUUUUAGCAAGAAAUUUGUCUG